rnacentral:misc_RNA from 1 species
GCUCGCCCUCCUCCCUGGCGCUGACCGAUGGACCAGCCGCUCCGUGGGGAGGACUCCGGACCCUGGUGGGGGGGCGGGGGGGUUCUUUCGCCCCCGUGGCGGAGGGCCCCUGAGAGGCGGAUACGGGUGUGCCUUUGGGGGUGAUGUGGCGUGUGGGGGGAAAGGUCCGAGCUCGCCUGGAGGGGGAGGGUUUUUCCCUUAAGUCAUCCCUCCCAGGACUUGCUUUUUCUGCUCUGAGCCGGACGCCGGAAUGGAGUUUGAGGAAGAGAUUCUUCGCUGCUGCUGCCUUACCGCCGAGAACCACCACCCGCCAGGCGUCUUGCGGCCACACCCCUGGCGGGUUCAGGCAGGCUACGCCCACGCGACCCCUCCCGUUUCCCUGCUUUGGCCAAUGGAGGAGCUACGAAUGGCACGACCUGCUCGAGCUUGGCAGUCUCCAGUUGGGCUGUGCAUGGAAGCUUGGGAAGACUUUGUUGGAAGGGGAGGCGGGGAGAGAGUGCUGGAGGCUCUGGGGCGAUGGCUUCCGCACCUCUUCCAACCACCCUCUUUCCCUGGAGUCGGCGGACCACAGCUCAGCCAAUUGGCUUGGAGAUGUGGCGGGUUGCCACUUCCCUGUGGGUCUCUGCGGCACUCUUCUGCCUGGUGACUGACACCUUGGAAAUGAAGUUUAUGACGUCAUCGUUGCGGCUGGCCAAUAGAAAAAGCUCCCGCGGAGAGGUGUUCCUUCCCCUUCGACUCAGCUUCUUCACCCGCGUGAGCGAGCGCGCGCGCGCGGAGGGGGUGGGGAAAAUCUCAAGCAGGGUGGCGCGCAUGAGCGGCGAAGCUCCUCCUCCCCGCCUAUAUAUAAAGGGCUGGCGCGGGGCUCGGCGGCGCCAUUUCGUGCUGGAGUGGAGCAGCCUCUAGAACGAGCUGGAGGAUUCUGCCUACCGAUACAGAGCCUUCGAGUCGUCCGGGGCCGCCAUUACAAUCCACCUCCAUCCGCUUGGAAAUGGCCUUCGUCCCGGCCUAUGACUGGUCCCAGCGGGCAGUACAGACCCCCUAGAAGCCCCUGGAGCUCCCCUUUUUCGGGCCCCGCCCAAUCCUCGGAGUCUGUCCACCCCCUCUACUCCGCCCUCAAGAGGAUUUCAAAGAUGGAGGCGGCGGCUCCCUAAACCACUUUUCGUGUUCAUCCGCCUCCAUCCGAGAUCGAAACGGGACCUCGUCGGCCCCGUAGGGGCCCGACAAGAAGAGGGAAUCCCUGCAGACCAACAGCGGGCUAUAUUGACGACGGUGUCUGAGAUCGGGGACCGUCUUUUGAAGAGUCAGUCCCUCCUUAGUUGCCCGCCUCAGCUGAGGCCGCCGCCAUUUUCUUGCUGUCCGCCGUCUGCAGAGCGCGCCAAGCUGCCCGGAGCUCUCCGAGAGGCCCCAAAGAGACUGCUUUCGUGCCGGCCAGGCAGGGGGUUUGUCGCCUGGAGGCCCAAGAGGAACGGCCUCCCCCCAACUUAGCGGGUUAUGCUGGACCGGGCGGUGAGGGGAACCGAGGCCACCCGGACUUUCCGCGGCUGAGGGCAGCGCCGGUUCCUUGCGGUCAAGAUGCUGCAAAACGUGACUCCCCACAAUAAGCUCCCUGGGGAAGGGAAUGCAGGGUUGCUGGGGCUGGGCCCAGAAGCAGCAGCACCAGGGAAAAGGAUUCGAAAACCCUCUCUCUUGUAUGAGGGCUUUGAGAGCCCCACAAUGGCUUCGGUGCCUGCUUUGCAACUUACCCCUGCCAACCCACCACCCCCGGAGGUGUCCAAUCCCAAAAAGCCAGGACGAGUUACCAACCAGCUGCAAUACCUACACAAGGUAGUGAUGAAGGCUCUGUGGAAACAUCAGUUCGCAUGGCCAUUCCGGCAGCCUGUGGAUGCUGUCAAACUGGGUCUACCGGAUUAUCACAAAAUUAUAAAACAGCCUAUGGACAUGGGUACUAUUAAGAGGAGACUUGAAAACAAUUAUUAUUGGGCUGCUUCAGAGUGUAUGCAAGAUUUUAAUACCAUGUUCACCAACUGUUACAUUUACAACAAGCCCACUGAUGAUAUUGUCCUAAUGGCACAAACGCUGGAAAAGAUAUUCCUACAGAAGGUUGCAUCAAUGCCACAAGAAGAACAAGAGCUGGUAGUGACCAUCCCUAAGAACAGCCACAAGAAGGGGGCCAAGUUGGCAGCGCUCCAGGGCAGUGUUACCAGUGCCCAUCAGGUGCCUGCCGUCUCUUCUGUGUCACACACAGCCCUGUAUACUCCUCCACCUGAGAUACCUACCACUGUCUUCAACAUUCCCCACCCAUCAGUCAUUUCCUCUCCACUUCUCAAGUCCUUGCACUCUGCUGGACCCCCGCUCCUUGCUGUUACUGCAGCUCCUCCAGCCCAGCCCCUUGCCAAGAAAAAAGGCGUAAAGCGGAAAGCAGAUACUACCACCCCUACACCUACAGCCAUCUUGGCUCCUGGUUCUCCAGCUAGCCCUCCUGGGAGUCUUGAGCCUAAGGCAGCACGGCUUCCCCCUAUGCGUAGAGAGAGUGGUCGCCCCAUCAAGCCCCCACGCAAAGACUUGCCUGACUCUCAGCAACAACACCAGAGCUCUAAGAAAGGAAAGCUUUCAGAACAGUUAAAACAUUGCAAUGGCAUUUUGAAGGAGUUACUCUCUAAGAAGCAUGCUGCCUAUGCUUGGCCUUUCUAUAAACCAGUGGAUGCUUCUGCACUUGGCCUGCAUGACUACCAUGACAUCAUUAAGCACCCCAUGGACCUCAGCACUGUCAAGACAUAAAUAUUUCUUCAACCCACCCAAAUUCCUUUGACUUCAAACUUGAACCCCAGGGCACAGAUCCUUAAGGUCAUCCCCACUGUGCUCUCAAGAGAGGGCUCUUCUUGUGGUGUCUGGGGUUGGCAGGGAAAGGUGAGUCUUCCUGCCUGUGCAGCUUCUGAUGCUGCCUCCUUCUGCAGCGGAAGAUGGAGAACCGUGAUUACCGGGAUGCACAGGAGUUUGCUGCUGAUGUACGGCUUAUGUUCUCCAACUGCUAUAAGUACAAUCCCCCAGAUCACGAUGUUGUGGCAAUGGCACGAAAGCUACAGGAUGUAUUUGAGUUCCGUUAUGCCAAGAUGCCAGAUGAACCACUAGAACCAGGGCCUUUACCAGUCUCUACUGCCAUGCCCCCUGGCUUGGCCAAAUCGUCUUCAGAGUCCUCCAGUGAGGAAAGUAGCAGUGAGAGCUCCUCUGAGGAAGAGGAGGAGGAAGAUGAGGAGGACGAGGAGGAAGAAGAGAGUGAAAGCUCAGACUCAGAGGAAGAAAGGGCUCAUCGCUUAGCAGAACUACAGGAACAGCUUCGGGCAGUACAUGAACAACUGGCUGCUCUGUCCCAGGGUCCAAUAUCCAAGCCCAAGAGGAAAAGAGAG